AUUGAACGCUGGCGGCAGGCCUAACACAUGCAAGUCGAGCGAGCGGCGGACGGGUGAGUAAUGUAUGGGGACUGCCCGAUAGAGGGGGAUAACUACUGGAAACGGUGGCUAAUACCGCAUACUAUCGGAUAACCCAUAUGGGAUUAGCUAGUAGGUGGGGUAAAGGCUCACCUAGGCGACGAUCUCUAGCUGGUCUGAGAGGAUGAUCAGGAACAGUGAGACUGAGACACGGCCCAGAGUCCGACGGGGGGAGCAGAUGGGAAUAUGGGACAAUGGGCGAAAGACUGAUGCAGCGAGGCCGCGUGGGGGAUGAGGGCUUUCGAGUUGUAAACCUCUUGCGCUAGCGAGGGUAGGUGGAGAAGAAGCGCCGGCUAACUACGUGCCAGCAGCCGCGGUAAUUC
rnacentral:rRNA from 1 species